rnacentral:rRNA from 1 species
UACGUAGGUGGCAAGCGUUGUCCGGAUUUAUUGGGUUUAAAGGGUGCGUAGGCGGUUCCAUAAGUCAGUGGUGAAAUACGGCAGCUCAACUGUCGAGGUGCCAUUGAUACUGUGGAACUUGAGUACUGAUGAGGUAGGCGGAAUUGACGGUGUAGCGGUGAAAUGCUUAGAUAUCGUCAAGAACACCGAUAGCGAAGGCAGCUUACCAAGCAGUAACUGACGCUGAGGCACGAAAGUGCGGGGAUCAAACAGG